UACGGAGGGUGCAAGCGUUAUCCGGAAUCAUUGGGUUUAAAGGGUCCGCAGGCGGGAAGAUAAGUCAGUGGUGAAAUCUCACAGCUCAACUGUGAAACUGCCAUUGAUACUGUCUUUCUUGAAUUCGAUCGAAGUGGGCGGAAUGUGACAUGUAGCGGUGAAAUGCUUAGAUAUGUCACAGAACACCGAUAGCGAAGGCAGCUCACUAGGUCUGGAUUGACGCUCAGGGACGAAAGCGUGGGGAGCAAACAGG
rnacentral:rRNA from 1 species